rnacentral:rRNA from 1 species
GACAGAGGAGGCAAGCGUUGUUCGGAAUCAUUGGGCUUAAAGGGCGUGCAGGCGGCGGCGCAAGUGUCGAGUGAAAUCCCAUCGCUCAACGAUGGAACGGCUCGGCAAACUGCGUCGCUUGAGGUCGGUAGAGGUGCUCGGAACUCUAGGUGGAGCGGUGAAAUGCGUAGAGAUCGGAAAGAACACCAACGGCGAAAGCACUCUGCUGGGCCGACACUGACACUGAGAGACGAAAGCUAGGGGAGCGAAUGGG